AGCUUGGGUUGCCUCCCAAGUAACGCUUGGUUUAUAAUCUUCAACCUAAUUCUUCAUUUGCUUAAGAGUCUUCUGAUAAGGGCAAGGUGACAGUUUGACGAUCAACCGAGCUACCCCAAUAAUGCUUUAACCUUUGAACCAUUGACUUGAAAUUUCUUUUCAUCUUUUCCUUCUAGCUCUACAACCCUGCGGCCAUGAAUUCUCACCAUAGUGAAUGGACCAGACCACCUAGACUUUAGCUUCCCAGGAAAAAGUUUGAGCUUUGAAUUGUAUAAUAAAACUUGUUGACUUGGUUGAAAGGUUCUAGCAAGGAUUUUGAUGCUACCAAAUAUUAAGAUGCACCAUAAGUGUGUGGGUUAUAAAAAAAAGAAAGUGGCAAAUCAAGAUCGAUCCCACAGAGAACUCAAUUAAUUAGUGAUUAGGCAAUACAAAUCUUCUUUUCGUUUAAGUUGAGUAAAUCAAAAUUCAUGAAAUUGGGUAGAAAGAAAUUUAAAAUAAACAAAACAAAGCUU